GCAUUUCCCUCGGCACUCUGGACGCCGCAGCCGGUCGGGUAGCUGCGCGUGUCGGCCAUGAGGUCGGACGCCGGCAGGUGGCCGGUGGUCUCACUCUAUUGUUGGGGCUAUCGGUUGUUAGCCAGUCCGUCCGUGGCGCGACACCCGACCGAGGAAGAUAUAUUAAUCUUAGAGCCUUCCCCUCCCGCCCUGUUAAACCGUUAAAAGUUUAAUUUGGGCGGCCGAGCGAUUGUUGCCGUCAGGUGUCAGUGCGCGUGGGUCGUCGCAGUCUUCGCACUGGGCGAUCCGCACUGCACCGCCGUUCAGAUCGGUAUAUACAUUCGCGGGGGAAAUAAGAAGGCUGGCGGCGAGUAGGUCGGUCACCCACCCGACCCGUCUUGAAACACGGACCAAGGAGUCUAACAUGUGCGCGAGUCACUGGGUCUUGUUCAGGCCCAAAGGCGCAAUGAAAGUGAAAGUCGACUUUUAGUCGACCGAGUUGGGAUCCUUCCUUUUGAAGACUUUAAAUUUUUGAUUAAGGAAGGCGCACCAACGACCCGCCCUAUCCGAUUCAUCGGUUGGACGGAGUCUGAGCGUACACGUUGGGACCCGAAAGAUGGUGAACUAU
rnacentral:rRNA from 1 species